rnacentral:rRNA from 1 species
UAAAACUUUCAACAACGGAUCUCUUGGUUCUGGCAUCGAUGAAGAACGCAGCGAAAUGCGAUAAGUAAUGUGAAUUGCAGAAUUCAGUGAAUCAUCGAAUCUUUGAACGCACAUU